rnacentral:rRNA from 1 species
CUGGCUCAGAACGAACGCUGGCGGCGCGUCUAAGCAUGCAAGUCGAACGGCAAGAGGUAGCAAUACCUCCUAGAGUGGCGGACUGGUGAGUAACACGUGGGUGACAUACCCUUCAGAUGGGGAUAGCUAUUAGAAAUAGUAGAUAAUACCGAAUACGAGCACAGGGGUUAGAGAUCUGUGAGGAAAGGAGCUAAGGCUCCGCUGAAGGAAUGGCCUGCGGCCCAUUAGCUAGUUGGUGAGGUAAGAGCCCACCAAGGCGAUGAUGGGUAUCCGGCCUUAGAGGGUGAACGGACACAUUGGGACUGAGAUACGGCCCAGACUCCUACGGGAGGCAGCAGCUAAGAAUAUUCCGCAAUGGACGAAAGUCUGACGGAGCGACGCCGCGUGGAUGAAGAAGGCCGGAAGGUUGUAAAAUCCUUUUGAAACUGAAGAAUAAGCGUUGUAGGGAAUGACAGCGUGGUGACAGUAGGUUUUGAAUAAGCAACGGCUAAUUACGUGCCAGCCGCUGC